ACAGGUAGAGGGAACAAACUAACGAAAAAUGGCAAUCUGCACCGUGUACACAACCCAAUCUCUCAACUCAACAUGCUCAGUCUCUAAACCAGCGAAACCUCAAUUGGGUUUCCACCAGAAGCAGGUGGUUUUCUUCACCAAAAGCAGGAGAAGAUCGGGCAUGAGCAGCUGCGGCAGCAGUGUGAUAACGUGCUCAGCUGGAGAGCAACGGACAGUGGUCAUAGGGUUGGCUGCAGACUCUGGGUGUGGGAAGAGCACCUUCAUGAGGAGGCUGACCAGUGUGUUUGGAGGAGCUGCGGAGCCUCCAAGGGGUGGGAACCCAGACUCCAACACACUCAUCAGUGACACCACCACUGUCAUAUGCUUGGAUGACUAUCACUCACUUGACAGAACUGGAAGGAAGGAGAAGGGUGUGACUGCGCUUGACCCUAGAGCCAACGAUUU
rnacentral:lncRNA from 1 species